CCUACGGGGCGCAGCAGUCGAGAAUCAUUCACAAUGGGGGAAACCCUGAUGGUGCGACGCCGCGUGGGGGAAUGAAGGUCUUCGGAUUGUAAACCCCUGUCAUGUGGGAGCAAAUUAAAAAGAUCGUACCACACGAGGAAGAGACGGCUAACUCUGUGCCAGCAGCCGCGGUAAUACAGAGGUCUCAAGCGUUGUUCGGAAUCACUGGGCGUAAAGCGUGCGUAGGCUGUUUCGUAAGUCGUGUGUGAAAGGCGCGGGCUCAACCCGCGGACGGCACAUGAUACUGCGAGACUAGAGUAAUGGAGGGGGAACCGGAAUUCUCGGUGUAGCAGUGAAAUGCGUAGAUAUCGAGAGGAACACUCGUGGCGAAGGCGGGUUCCUGGACAUUAACUGACGCUGAGGCACGAAGGCCAGGGGAGCGAAAGGGAUUAGAUACCCCAGUAGUC
rnacentral:rRNA from 1 species